UCAACGGAGAGUUUGAUCCUGGCUCAGGACGAACGCUGGCGGCGUGCUUAACACAUGCAAGUCGAACGGUGACGAGGAGCUUGCUCCUCCGAUCAGUGGCGAACGGGUGAGUAACACGUGAGUAACCUGCCCCAGACUCUGGAAUAACAGUUGGAAACAGCUGCUAAUACCGGAUACGAGACGGAGAGGCAUCUCUACCGUCUGGAAAGUUUUUCGGUCUGGGAUGGACUCGCGGCCUAUCAGCUUG
rnacentral:rRNA from 1 species